GACGAACGCUGGCGGCGUGCCUAAUACAUGCAAGUCGAACGCAGUGGGGACGGGUGCGUAACACGUGGGUAACCUCCCGUCAGAGGGGAUAACACUGGGAAACAGGUGCUAACCCGAUGCUGAUGGAUGGACCCGGGGUGCAUUAGCUAGUUGGUGGGGUAACGGCGCACCAAGGCCACGAUGCAUAGCCGAUCUGAGAGGGUGACCGGUCACACUGGGACUGAGACACGGCCCAGACUCCUACGGGAGGCAGCAGUAGGGAAUCUUCGGCAAUGGACGAAAGCCUGACCGAGCAACGCCGCGUGAGUGAAGAAGGUCUUCGGAUCGUAAAGCUCUGUUGGUAGGGAAGCGGUAUCUAACCAGAAAGCCACGGCUAACUACGUGCCAGCAGCCGCGGUAAUUC
rnacentral:rRNA from 1 species